rnacentral:rRNA from 1 species
CACGUAGGGCGCAAGCGUUGUCCGGAAUUAUUGGGCGUAAAGAGCUCGUAGGCGGUCUGUUGCGUCCGCUGUGAAAACUCGGGGCUUAACCCCGAGCCUGCAGUGGAUACGGGCAGACUAGAGGUAGGUAGGGGAGAAUGGAAUUCCCGGUGUAGCGGUGAAAUGCGCAGAUAUCUGCAGGAACACCCGUGGCGAAAGCGGCGAGCUGGAUCACUACUGACGCUGAAGAACGAAAGCUAGGGGAGCAAACAGG